CGGGACGGGUGAGUAAUGCUUGGGAAUCUGGCUUAUGGAGGGGGAUAACUACGGGAAACUGUAGCUAAUACCGCGUAGUAUCGGAAGAUGAAAGUGCGGGACCGUAAGGCCGCAUGCCAUGGGAUGAGCCCAAGCGGGAUUAGGUAGUUGGUGGGGUAAAGGCCUACCAAGCCUGCGAUCUCUAGCUGGUCUGAGAGGAUGGCCAGCCACACUGGAACUGAGACACGGUCCAG
rnacentral:rRNA from 1 species